ensembl:lncRNA
GGUGGGGUUUUGGGGGGGGUUUGGGGCGGGGUUUGAGGCAGGGUUUGAAGCGAAGAUUGAGCUGGGGUUUGAGGCGCGGUUUGGGGCAAGUUUUGCGACGGGGUUAGAGGCGCGGUUUGAGGCGGGGUUCGAGGCUGGGUUUGAGGUGGGGUUUGAGGUAGGUUUGAGGCGGGGUUAGAGGCGGAGUUUGAGAUGGGGUUUGAGGAGAGGUUUGGGGUGGGGUUUGAGACGGGGUUUGAAGUGGGGUUCGAGGCGCAGCUAGAAGCGGGGUUUGGGGUGGGGUUUAAGGUGGGGUUUGGGGUGGGGUUUGAGGUGGGGUUAAAGGUGGGGUUUGGGUUGGGGUUUCUCAUGGGGUUUGAGGGGGGGUUUGAGGCGAGGUUCGAGGCAUGGUUUGAAGUGGAUUUUGGGUCGGGGUUUGAGGCGGGGUUUGAGGCGGGGUUUGAGGCGUGGUUUGAGGCAGGGUUAGAUGCGGGGUUUGGGGCGGUGUUUAAGGCAGGGUUUCAGGCGAGGUUUGGGGUGGCUUUUGAGGCGGGGAUAAAGGCGGGGUUUGGGGAGGGGUUUGGGGCGGGGUUAGAGGCGGGGUUUGAGGCCGGGUUACAGGCGGGGUUUGGGGCUGGGUUUGGGGCAAGGUUUGGGGAGGGCUUUGAGGCAAGGUGUGAGGCGGGGUAUGAGGAUUGGUUUGAGGUGGGAUUAGAGGUGGGGCUCGGGUAGGGUUUUAGGCGGUGUUCGAGGCGGGGUUAGAGGCAAGGUUUGGGGCGGGGUUUGAGGCGGGGUUAUAGGCUGGGUUUGGGACAGGGUUUGAGGCAAGGUCUGAGGCGGGUCUUGAGGCAAGGUUUGAGGCGGGGUUUGAAGUGGGGUUUGAAGUGGGGUUUGAAGUGGGGUUUGAGGCGCGGUUAAAAGCGGGGUUUGAGGAGGGGUUUGGGGCGGGGUUAGAGGCGGAUGUUCGAGACGGGGUUUGAGUCGGGGUUUGAGGUAAGGUUUGAGGCGGCGUUUGGGGUGGGGUAUGGUGUGGGGUUUGAGGCGGGGUUAGGGGUGGGAUUUAAGUUGGGGUUUUAGGCGGGGCUAAGGGCAAAGUUCAAGGCGUGGUUUAGGCGGGGUUUGAGGCGUGGUUUGAGGCGGGGUUCGGGGUAAGGUUUGGGUGGGGUUUGAAGAGGGGUUUGAGGCGAGGCUUGAGGCGGGGUUAGAGGCAGGGUUUGGGGCGGGGUUUCAGGUGCGUUUUGAGGCGGGGUUUGGGGUGGGGUUUAAGGUUGUUUUUGAGCCUAUGCUUGGGGCGGGGUUUGAGGCGAAGUUUGAGAUGGGGUUUGUGGCGGGGUAUGAUGUAUGGUUUGAGGCGAGGUUAGAGGUGGGGCUUGGGGAGGGGUUUUUGGCGGGGUUUGAGGUGGGGUUUGAGGCGGAGUACAAGGCGAGUUUCGAGGCGGGGUUUGAGGCAAGGUUUGAGGCGGGUUUUGAGGUGGGGUUUGAGGCGAGGUCUGGGACGGGGUUUGAGGCAGGAUUUGAGGUGGGGUUUGAGGCGGGGUUAAAGGCGGGGUUUGAGGCGUGGUUUGGGGAGGGGUUUGAGGCGGGUAUAGAGGCGGGGUUAGACACAGGGUUCGAGGCGAUGUUCGAGGCGGGGUUUGAGGUGGGUUUUGAGACGGGGUUUGAGCUGUGGUUUGAGGCAGGGUUAGGGGUUGGGUUUGGAGUGGGGUUUGAGGCGGGUUUUGAGGCGGGGUUA